rnacentral:lncRNA from 1 species
UAUCACCAAAUCCAAUCUCCUAUGUGCUCAAGGACAAAAGAAGCAAUCCAAUUUGCGGCACCGUUCGCCUCCUGGAAGACAUGAUGGAUCAACACUUCGGUAAACUCUCGGAGAGAAAUCCAGAUGUCACGGAGAAGCGAAUGAGCAUCAAGAUGCCUCGUGUCAUCUUGGAUCUAUUCGGUGACGGUCACUGAAUCAUCCUCAAUGCAGAUUCUCUCCACCCGUAACUCCCAUCUGGCAUAGUUAAUGUCCACCCAGAC